rnacentral:rRNA from 1 species
UACAGAGGGUGCGAGCGUUGUUCGGAAUUAUUGGGCGUAAAGGGCGCGUAGGCGGUGCGGUAAGUCACCUGUGAAAUCUCCUGGCUCAACUGGGAGCUUGCAGGCGAAACUGCCGUGCUGGAGUGUGGGAGAGGUGCGUGGAAUUCCCGGUGUAGCGGUGAAAUGCGUAGAUAUUGGGAGGAACACCUGUGGCGAAAGCGGCGCACUGGACCACAACUGACGCUGAGGCGCGAAAGCUAGGGGAGCAAACAGG